rnacentral:tRNA from 1 species
GGGGCCAUCUCUUGGAAGCCCGUCGGGCUCAUAACCCGAAGGUCGCAGGUCCAAAUCCUGCCCCCGCCA